UUCAGCAUGAACCUCUACAUUUAAUAUGCAUAUAAAUAUCUGGGAAGGUCUAUUUACGAUCACAUCGGGUAAUAACAGUCAGUAAAAUCAUGGUGCGCGUGCGCGUUGUAAUAAUGCACAUUGUUGGCAGUAUUGUCGGAGGAUGGGUUCUCAGCAAUGUUUUUUAUGACUAUGUACUUUUCCCGUACUGGUAUCCUGGCCAGGAACGACCGUACAAGCGCACCACACUGACCGACUGGCUACUGCCGGAAGCCGUGCUCUUAGUACGGCAAAAGGAAAUCGCCACCAGCGAAUUCGUAUACGAUGCCACUGAUCACUGGUCACUUAUCGGUCUAUGCUCCGCGGCGGAAUCUCUGGAUAUUUGUUCAGCAUUUGGGAUUCCGGAACUGUCUCACAACCGGAGUAUUUCACGGCCGCGAAAUUCUCAUCCUCGACGGAGAACCCACCUUACCUGUGGAAACCGGCUGCAACGGGGAUGCACAUGCCGCUGCAUCACGGAAUACGCAGUACGUGUACGGAACAGCGGUGCGUGAUGCCGUAAAGGUCAACGCGUGGAAAUUCAAUACCGGCGUUGCACUUACGUCGCCGGUUGUUGUUAUUGAAGAUCGCUCUGCUUUUUGCCACGAGCGUCGAAGAGGCUACUUUUCCCUGGUAUAUCCCGACCGUGUAGACUGCACUGUCGUUCUAAGCUCUGCUGGGACAUCUCCACCGUCGAGCGAUUUGCGACAAAGGGCCAAGCAGCGAUUACGGCCCAGCUUUUUGGGGGGCCUUCGAGCAGGGUAGCGCAGUGGUUCUGGUUUUGGACAGUUGCAAUUCGUUCUCAAAUCUCAUUUCGCACAUUGUGAUAGUGAAUAGAUUGUAAAGACUGCGAUAGAGCAUGGCUAGAAUAAAAUUUUGUUAUUACACACAGUUCGAAUCCACCACCAAUGAAUAUCGUUCUACCAAACUCUUUUCGCUUACAGGCGUACUGUUACAGAGGAAAUUAUUGUAUGUAUCUAUACAAAAACCACGGGUGAUCCAGGAAUUCAGUUUUUUCAGAGUUCAAACUAACCUUAUAUCCAGUCGAGAGUGAAAUAUCGCAAAUAAAAUGUUUAUUACAGAACAGAUCGAA